rnacentral:rRNA from 1 species
UACAGAGGUCUCAAGCGUUGUUCGGAUUCAUUUGGGCGUAAAGGGUGCGUAGGUGGCGCUGUAAGUCGGGUUGUGAAAUUUCGGAGCUUAACUCCGAAACUGCAUUCGAUACUGCGGUGCUUGAGGACUGGAGAGGAGACUGGAAUUCGAUGGUGUAGCAGUGAAAUGCGUAGAGAUCAUGAGGAAGACCAGUGGCGAAGGCGGGAUCGCUGGACAGUUCCUGACACUGAGGCACGAAAGGCCAGGGGAGGCAAAACGGG